rnacentral:rRNA from 1 species
GACGAACGCUGGCGGCGCGCCUAACACAUGCAAGUCGAACGGAGCUGAGAGAAGCUUGCUUUUCUUAGCUUAGUGGCGAACGGGUGAGUAACGCGUGAGUAACCUGCCCUGGAGUGGGGGAUAACAGUUGGAAACGACUGCUAAUACCGCAUAAGCUCACGAUCCGGCAUCGGAUUGAGGGAAAAGGAUUUAUUCGCUUCAGGAUGGACUCGCGUCCAAUUAGCUAGUUGGUGAGGUAACGGCCCACCAAGGCGACGAUUGGUAGCCGGACUGAGAGGUUGAACGGCCACAUUGGGACUGAGACACGGCCCAGACUCCUACGGGAGGCAGCAGUGGGGGAUAUUGCACAAUGGGGGAAACCCUGAUGCAGCGACGCCGCGUGGAGGAAGAAGGUUUUCGGAUUGUAAACUCCUGUCGUUAGGGACGAUAAUGACGGUACCUAACAAGAAAGCACCGGCUAACUACGUG